rnacentral:rRNA from 1 species
CCUACGGGAGGCUGCAGUGGGGAAUAUUGGACAAUGGGGGGAACCCUGAUCCAGCCAUGCCGCGUGUGUGAAGAAGGCCCUCGGGUUGUAAAGCACUUUCAGUGAGGAAGAACGCCUGGUGGUUAAUACCCAUCAGGAAAGACAUCACUCACAGAAGAAGCACCGGCUAACUCCGUGCCAGCAGCCGCGGUAAUACGGAGGGUGCGAGCGUUAAUCGGAAUUACUGGGCGUAAAGCGCGCGUAGGUGGCUUGAUAAGCCGGUUGUGAAAGCCCCGGGCUCAACCUGGGAACGGCAUCCGGAACUGUCAAGCUAGAGUGCAGGAGAGGAAGGUAGAAUUCCCGGUGUAGCGGUGAAAUGCGUAGAGAUCGGGAGGAAUACCAGUGGCGAAGGCGGCCUUCUGGACUGACACUGCCACUGAGGUGCGAAAGCGUGGGUAGCAAACAGGCUUAGAUACCCCUGUAGUA